CCAUCUUUCUCUUCCUUUGUUCACUUCCGAACUUCUGACUUCCUUUUUUUAAAUACGAUUCUGUCUGUUCACUGCUGAGAAUCCAGUACCUCUCUGCCAUUACCACCUCAAAGAGAAGCUGCUCGCCAGCAGUUCCAGCUCUGUCCCUGAAGGAGCCAAUUUAAACGAAGUUUCUACCUUUUGGGUUCAAGCAUGUGUUCCCUGAAGCUCUGCAGAUGAUUCUAAGAUACAGAGAAGGUGAGACUACAAACAUUAAGCAAGUUAGUUUAGGCUGCUUGGGUUCAGUCCCCACACAUAUCAACAAUCCAAAAACUUCACAAGCCACCAAUAUUACAUUUUCUGCCUUGUGCAAGGGUCUCAAACAAAUUAUCACAGAGAUGUUCCAAUGGAACCUAAUGAAGGCACAGCCUAAAAAUAUCCAUUUGUGACCAAAAUAAAAAACUCAUUAAAUCAUAA